UACAGAGGUCUCAAGCGUUGUUCGGAUUCAUUGGGCGUAAAGGGUGCGUAGGUGGCGCGCUAAGUCAGGUGUGAAAUUUCGGAGCUUAACUCCGAAACUGCAUUUGAUACUGGCGUGCUUGAGGACUGGAGAAGAGACUGGAAUUCACGGUGUAGCAGUGAAAUGCGUAGAGAUCGUGAGGAAGACCAGUGGCGAAGGCGGGUCUCUGGACAGUUCC
rnacentral:rRNA from 1 species